UUGUUGUUGACCUUCCCCGCCCACCAGCCCUCGUCCCCCGAGAUCUCAGAGUCCAGGGACAGGACCUCCACCAGGUCCCCUUGUCGCAAGGAAAAGAGUCAGAUGACAUGGCCUCGGUGAAGCCACACGAUGUCCGGUGGGACACUUCCGGUUGGGACUGUCAACAUAAAAGCUCGGACUGAUGUUUAAAAUGUUGUUUUGCGGGAAAUUGUCAAUAAAAGUGAUUAAAAAAAAUACGGACGACAAUUAAAUAUCACUAAAUAAUUUAA